rnacentral:rRNA from 1 species
AUAUUGGACAAUGGGGGCAACCCUGAUCCAGCCAUGCCGCGUGUGUGAAGAAGGUCUUCGGAUUGUAAAGCACUUUAAGUUGGGAGGAAGGGCUUUAGGCUAAUACCCUGAAGUCUUGACGUUACCAACAGAAUAAGCACCGGCUAACUCUGUUCCAGCAGCCGCGGUAAUACAGAGGGUGCAAGCGUUAAUCGGAAUUACUGGGCGUAAAGCGGGCGUAGGUGGUUCAGAAAGAUGGGUGUGAAGACCCCGGGCUUAACCUGGGAACUGCUUUCAUAACUGCUGAACUAGAGUACGGGAGAGGGUAGUGAAAUUUCCUGUGUAGCGGUGAAAUGAGGAGAUAUAAGAAGGAGCACCAGUGGCGUAGGAGACUACCUGGACUGAUACUGACAAUGAGGUGCGAAAGCGUGGGGAGCAAAC